GCUGAUCUCUCUGCUUUUACACUAUUCCCCCUGCAGGAAAGAGGCUUCACACAGGGGGUUUCUUUCUGACAGAGGAAGGAGAGAACACAAUCCCUACACUGAUCCUUAUUCACACUAUGCUCACCAUAAAUAUUUAUGAAUGAUUCACGAAUUAAGGAGCGCGGUCUGUUUGCUACGUUUAUAAAACACAUAAGUGGCACAGACCUCCCCGGUAGCGGCAAUUCAUUAUUCGCUACCUGCCUCUGUUUUUUGUUUGUUGUUGCAGUCAGACCUCAAACAAAUCACUGAUGUUGUAGAACAAGAUUGAAGAUCCAUUAGUGGUACCGCAGCAUUCAAGACAUUUAAAUAUUUUGCUGGCCUGCCGAAUGGUGCACGUCUUCAGGACACCAUGGACGGAUUUACUGAGUGGCGGUAUCAAAAGUGUGCUUGUACCGUCGAUGACGCACAUUCCCAUCAUCGCCCCCCCCAUGACGAAGCACCAGCAUACUAUAUUCUGAAGGGGUGGCACUCCAUUGGUGGUCGAUCACAACUCCUGCUUCACAGAUGUGCAUAUGGGUCGGCCUGGUCGCACUCAUGAUUCUCAAGUUUUAGCCAACUUGCGCAUCUACAGAAAGGCUGAAGAGUAAGGUUGAGUACCUCUUCCCAUGUGAAGAACUGGCUGAUGAAGGGGUUCACCAACCACCAUGCACUCGGUCAACGGCAGCAAAGCUUUAACUACCGCUUGAGCUUGGCAAGGAUGGUGGUAGAAGAUGCUUUUGGGGCGUCUCAAAGGUCGCUGGAGUUGCCUGGCCAAGCGAAAUGAUAUUUCUACCGCUUUGUAUCAGACAUUGUUGCUGUCUGUUGUGUUCAACUACACAAUACAUGCGAAAUGAAGAAAAGAACACUCCAGAACGGAACACUGAGCGACCCAAUCUCCCGGAGCCUGACUCAGUUACUUAUCAGGAUGCACCAGCACACAGUCACCAAGCUAUCCGUCUGAGCAAUUAUGUCCAUUCUGUACGUUUUGCUGCCCUGUAUUAUUUGUAAAGUUUGUAAUGACUGAUUUAAGCAUGAUUGUGAAUGAAUAAAAGACACUUAAGGGAUCAAUUAAAGGUGUUUUUAUUGUCUUACAAAGUGACGUGCAAAGAAAUGUAAAUACAUUCAAAUUCAAUUUUCAUAUUGUGCUAAGGAAAACUGAAAACAAUUAGACAGGACAAAUUAAAACCAUCAAUAACUAUUUACAACAUACAUUACUUAGCAGUGCAGAUAACAAAAGAGCAGUGCCAAUGAGCAUGUGCAGCCGUGUAAGGCAUAACAAGAUGUGGAUAACAAUCAGUCAGGCUGCUGGAGGAAGGAGGGGGAAGGUGGGUCAAAUGUGCUGUCUGUGUGGGGAGACUGUUAUUGUUGUGCGGUGGUGGUGAAUAAUGGUGUGUUUGGAGUGCAAGAGCGCGGUACAGUCCUGUGGGAACUGGUAUGCGUGAAAUCGGGUCCUGCCGAUGUGAGGCUGGACUCUACAUCUUGCGCUGAAUAUCUCGAAACAUGUUGCUCUGACCGCUUCUGCGCCUCGCUCCUCAGCUGCUCCUUGUGAGCUGUUUGUCUUUGAACACAAAAAAGGCGAUCCUUCUCAUCUUUGAGGUCCAUAGCCAGCAUCAGGUCCUUUAUUUCUUUGGUCACCACCUUAGCUUCAGUUAAUUUCCACUUUUACUGCGGGGGCAGGUAUUCUAGAGAACAAUAGAACACAAGCGACAUUAGCGAGACUGCUCUUUACGUGCAAACACACACACAAAAAAAAAGUAGGUUUUUACCUGGUCGAUCAUGAGGUGCAGAUUCGCCGAUUCUAUUGCUGCCAUCUGUAUAAAGCCGAGGGAGACGCGGCAACAGUCUCAGCGGGAGCGGGCUCCUCCAUGUUGUUCAGUAGGGCUCCUUGCUUAGGAGAGUGGCUGGGCCCCCAAAUAGAAUGGCACAGGUCAAAAUAUGGCUUUUCAACCAUCGUCGGCCAUUCAUACUAUAAUGGUCCUCGACCUGGUGGAACUUUUUGUGUAAGCUCUUCAGUUGGCUCGUCACCUACGCCUUGCCCUGAGCAAUGGCGCGCUCUUGACGCCAUUUUGCCAGCCUUUCUAAUAAUGGUCCGUUCUUUAUCGUCCCUGAUUUCAUCCUGUGCUCGGAGUGUAAGGAGUUCCCAGACCACGCUGUCUCCCCAAUUCGCAUUCAACAUUUUCAACAAUACGGUCUUGAUUCUUCGGAUUAGCUGCAAACUGUUUCUUCAGAGAUUUUGAAAUCCCAUGGUUGACGGGUGGCACACAUAAAACGUCAUCAAAACGUCACACCCCCUGUUACGCCAUGCCGGCUGUGACUACCUCCACUACCUUCUAUACAGAAAAGCAAUGUGAACAGGCUGUAUACAAAGCCUCAAAGAGAGGGAGGAAUGAGGUGAUGAGGUGUCCCUCGAUUCUGCCGUGCCUCCAGGGCUACCCCCUCUCCCCAUGACAAGUUACCAGACACCUGGAGCUGACGUCUCCACAGACUCGCUCGUAGCGCUCUGGGGGCAGCUGACCUGAGUGUAGCCCUCUCCUCUGACACACUCAUGCAUAGACACACUCACUGAAAGACACAUGGGAGCUCACACUGACAUGCGAGCACACGCACACACACACACACACUGACAUGCACACACACACACACACACACACACACUGACAUGCACACACAUACAUACACACACACACACAGAGACACUCACUCAGUUUUGCUGUCACACACACACACUCAUAGUCCUCAAGCCAGCUCUGCCUGUCUACCUUCUUCUGGCAGACUUCAAGUUAACAUGGAGUUAUCUUUGUGUGCACGGUGUUUCAACCCUCCCCCCUCCUUUCCUGCUGCUGUUCAUUGACUGCCAUGUUGAAUUCUGCAAAUAAAAUGUUCAUCAUUUUAGUUUUUUUGUAUUUAUCACUUCUGAAGUAAUAUUCAGUAAAAGGUCAGACAAGGCCCAGUUCUAUCUGAAGAUGUUUGGGCUGCUCAUAGACUCAUGAUCUAAUUACACACGUUAGCAGUGCUGUGUGCUUUUGCCAAGCUGCUUGGCAAAUUGAUUUGCAGUCUUGCUGACGGCUAGCAGCAGAUGGAGAGAUGUUAGUGAUAAUACAUCAGGCUUAUUUGAGUCAUGUUUUUUUUUCUUCUUUUUUCCUUCUCUCUCUCUGAUCUUGUCAUUCACCCAUGUGUGAACUUUCAGAAU
ensembl:lncRNA